UACGUAGGGUGCGAGCGUUGCCCGGAUUUACUGGGCGGAAAGGGCGCGUAGGCGGUCGUGACAAGUCACUUGUGAAAUCUCCGGGCUUAACUCGGAACGGUCAAGUGAUACUGUCGGACUAGAGUACAGAAGGGGCAACUGGAAUUCUCGGUGUAGCGGUGAAAUGCGUAGAUAUCGAGAGGAACACCUGCGGCGAAGGCGGGUUGCUGGGCUGAUACUGACGCUGAGGCGCGAAAGCCAGGGGAGCGAACGGG
rnacentral:rRNA from 1 species